GAUGAACGCUGGCGGCGUGCCUAAUACAUGCAAGUCGAGCGAACAGAUGAGGAGCUUGCUCCUCUGACGUUAGCGGCGGACGGGUGAGUAACACGUGGAUAACCUACCUAUAAGACUGGGAUAACUUCGGGAAACCGGAGCUAAUACCGGAUAAUAUAUUGAACCGCAUGGUUCAAUAGUGAAAGACGGUUUUGCUGUCACUUAUAGAUGGAUCCGCGCCGCAUUAGCUAGUUGGUAAGGUAACGGCUUACCAAGGCGACGAUGCGUAGCCGACCGGAGAGGGUGAUCGCCCACCCUGGAGCUGAGACACGGUCCAUACUCCUGCGGGAGGCAGCAGUAGCGAAUCGUCCGCAAUGGGCGGAAGCCUGACGGAGCGACGCCGCGUGAGUGAUGAAGGUCUUCGGAUCGUAAAACUCUGUUAUUAGGGAAGAACAAAUGUGUAAGUAACUAUGCACGUCUUGACGGUACCUAAUCAGAAAGCCACGGCUAACUACGUG
rnacentral:rRNA from 1 species